AUUGAACGCUGGCGGCAUGCUUUACACAUGCAAGUCGAACGGUAACAGGCCGCAAGGUGCUGACGAGUGGCGAACGGGUGAGUAAUGCAUCGGAACGUGCCCAGUCGUGGGGGAUAACGCAGCGAAAGCUGCGCUAAUACCGCAUACGAUCUCUGGAUGAAAGCGGGGGACCGAAAGGCCUCGCACGAUUGGAGCGGCCGAUGUCAGAGUAGGUCGUUGGUGGGGUAAAGGCCCACCAAGCCAAGGAUCUGUAGCUGGUGUGAGAGGACGACCAGCCACACUGGGACGGAGACACGGCCCAGGCGCGUACGGGAGGCAGCAGAGGUGAAUUUUGGACAAUGGGCGCAAGCCUGAUCCAGCAAUGCCGCGUGCAGGAAGAAGGCCUUCGGGUUGUAAACUGCUUUUGUACGGAACGAAACGGUCCGGGUUAAUACCCUGGGCUAAUGACGGUACCGUAAGAAUAAGCACCGGCCAACUACGUGCCAGCCGCCGCCGUAAAAC
rnacentral:rRNA from 1 species